rnacentral:lncRNA from 1 species
GACUUUUCCAAAAUGAAGACACGCCAUCUACUCCAGCGCAUACCGCACACACGGAGGAAUUUUGCGAGGUCAGAGAUCUUCGUGGAGCCUGGGACACCGGGGGUUAACGCCUGUCCCUGGCAGCUGAGCAGCCCCACAGCUGCCAGCAAUUAGGCCGGCUGGCAGGCCCCUUAGGAAACUCCUGCCGCCUGAUGAGGACUAAUUGCUAGCCAGCAUGUAAGUCCCGAUCGAUAGAAAUGGAAAUCCAUUAGGGAAAGGCUGGGCAGGGACACCCUGCCUUCUGGCGAGCGUGCACGUCCGUGGAGACGCCCCGUAUUGACUGCGUGCUCCGAACGCGCUCCCCGUGCCCGCGUUACUGGACAGUUACGCUGAGAAGGACUCUCGUGGUUUCCCUUUGACCCCAAAAGAGAGUCUUCUUUACCCCCUGUUUUGGUCUAUAACUGAAAGAAGCCUGUUUCUACCAAGAAUGGCAUGACGACAACCGUUCCUUGGGGAUCCAAGCAAUGUGUCGGGGGAGUGUGCAGAGGGCACAUGCCUGGGCGCCUCGGACGCUUGGUCCAGGUGUGGGCUGUGGCUGGGCCUUCGAGUGCGGGCGGUUCUUCUGUAUUAGGGAGACUCGUUCACAGACUCAUUGGCAGCUGCUGAAAAAACUUACUUCAGACCCUUGCCAGUUUGAAAUUUGUGACCGGGUGCCAGAGAAGAUGGCAGUGUUCAUGGGAACUAUUUCAACCAACUGUAUGCUGGUUCUGAGAAUACAAAGAGGUGUAAGAUCUGGGACUUGCCGUCAAGGGAUCCUACGGUCUAUGCAAGUUCAAAAAAAGGAGAUGACAGAAGGACUAUAUAAACUGCUUCUGAGAACAAGAUAGGAUUUUUAACACCACCACGACCACCAAAUUUUAAUUGAUUUUUUUUGUCAAAAAUGAACCACACGCUCACAUACACACGGAGUUUUGAGUUUUAACCUAUUUUGAAAUUCAAACAUAUUGUAACGAAAUGUGGAUUGUAUUAUUUGAGAAAAUACAUUUGUGAGCUCACUUUAGGAUAAGUGCAGCAGAAGGCGAACAGAAAAGACUGCAGCUGGAAUGACCUGGAUUACGCUGUGCGGUUACAUCUCUAAGGAGACAAAUUAGGAGAGACAGCGGACAUCAUACUCAGAGCUGGACUUUGGGGAGCUCUGCUCUCCAACAGACGUCGCUUUAUGGAGCCCUUCGAAACCCUCGAGGUAAACGGAAUUUGCGUCCCCCUCACUCGAGGAACAGGUGCGAGGUGAGGCUGAGAGGGGCCAUGGGAACAGAAUCCGCUUGCCCUGAAGCCUUGCGCUGACACCAGCAGGAAUAUGAACGUGACGUCUUUGAGUGUGUGCUUCUGGAAAGCGUCUCAGUGACAGGACUCAGAACAGCAUCUUGGCGAGGGCCAACACAGGCACCGUGUCGGGAAAAAAUGUUUCUAUCUAGCCCAGGGGUUUGUAUCCUGUCAGAAGUGGACGGCCACAUUCUUCUGUGUGGUUGGGAGUUCUUUUCCAAGUGAAAAUCAGCAUACAAACAGUCCUCUGGUUGCCAUCCUCUGAGAAUUCCAACCUUCCAAAUGGACGCAGCCACCCUGUGGGACGCAGCUUCAGCUCGGUCUUCCAGCCCGACGGCUGCAGUCAGACUCCGCCAUGGGUUUAGGUAAAGCCUUGACUGUGAUGGGAAAGAUCCAGCAUUGUUUCAUGUGCAUGAUCUCAAAUGCAAUGAGUUCCUGUCUGGGGAGCAUCGGAUACUUCACUUCCUAGUCUUGCCCCAUUUUUCCAUCACACGUGUCUUACUAUUGGAGAG